UAUCCUCAAAACCAUGACCACCUCUCUAUUUAAUGUGUUUGAUACACAACAGCAUUGGAACUGUAGAAUGCUCUCCAACGAAGGUGAAAAAAUUUCAGACAUUUCAAUUUCUACCAUUAUUGCUAAAUUUCCCCCUUGGAAGGAUUACCAAAAGAUUUUAAAACAUAAAGAUAAGUCUUGAGUUUGGAUCAACUGCUGCAAUACAUUCAAAUUGAAAAUGAGGCUAGAAUUGGUGAUGGACUUGAUAAUCAGAGUAAAGACAACAUAUUUCACAAUGUUGAAGGACCGGCAUAUGACAACUUUAAGUCCAUGAACAAGUUUCUAAAGAGAAAGAAAGUUUCUUGCAACAACAUAAGAAAGAGAGAGAAAGUCCAAGAAAAAUGGUAAUAAAAAGAAAGGUCCUUGUUUUGUUUGUGGCAAAAUGGGCAAUUUGGCUAGAGUUUGCUGUCAUCGCAAAGGACAGAAGAAGAAUGAGGCUAUUGCAAUGGAGGAUAGCAAGAUUAUUGCCAUGAUUACUGAAAUUCUCAUGGUCAACAUGGGAGAAGACUGGUGGAUUUAUUCUGGAAUAACCUGCCAUGUGAGUCCAUACAAAAAACUAUUUAAGACCUAUGAAGCAAUGAAUGAAGAAAAACCUAUAUUCACAGGAAAUUCCUCCACAUGUGCGAUCAUAGGAAAAGGAACUAUACAAAUUCCACUUACUUCUGGAAAAGUUCUUAUGCUCAGGGAUGUCUAUCAUAUUCCUGGUAUUAGGAAGAGCCUUAUUUCUAUGAAAUUUGAUGAUCAUGGGUUUAAAGUUGUAUAUGAUUCCCAAAAAGUGAUUAUCUCUGAAAAAGGAUCCUUUGUUGGGAAAGGUAUGCUAAAGAUAUUAUGUAUGUACUGAGUAUUAAUAAAGGUACUUCAAUUUCUGCUUAUAUCGUUGAUGAUAUGAAUCAUGUUUGGCCUUAUAGAUUAGGAUAUGUUGGUAAUAAUACUAUGCAUCAUAUGAUAUCAAAGGAUGAUGUUCCCAAAUCAAGUUCUGUUUUAACUAAACACUCUUGCGAAUAUUGUGCAUGAGCAAAAAGAGUAAAAGCCCCUUUUAAACCUAUCACAAGAACUAUUGCCCUUUUAGAACUUGUUCAUACAGAUUUAUGUGAUACUAAAAAUCAUUUGACUAGAGGUCAUAAAUGGUAUUUUGGAACAUACAUUGAUGAAGUUUCAAAAUAUACCUACGUAUAUUUGUUAAAAACUAAAGAUGAGACUUUUGAAAAAUCUAAAGUUUUCAAAUAAGUUAUUGAAAAUAGGACUUGCAAAAAAAUUAAGAGAUUAAGGUAUGAUAGAGGUGGUGAAUACCAUUCUAUUAAAUUGAUAUAUUUUUUGUGAACAACAUAGCAUUAUUAGAGAAGUAUCUUCAUCAACUCUCCACCCCAAAAUGGUGUAGCAAAAAGAAAAAAUAGAGCCUCACUAGAGGUGCUUAUUCAUUCUAAACUACCCAUGAGUUUUUUGGGUGCAGCUAAAUAUACCGCAUGUUAUAUUUCAGAUAGAAUUUUUAGAAAAAUGAAGACAAGACUCCUCAAGAAUUUUAAAUAAUCGAAAACCAAAGAUUGACUAUUUUAAAGUUUGGGGCUGCAUUGUAUGUUUUAGACUCUAUUCAAAAGAGACCAAAACUGGGUAGCAAAGCCAUUAAAUCCAUAUUUUUGGGUUAUGUCAUGCAUAGCAAAGCUUGUUAGAUUUCUUAAUUUGCACACUAGUAGUGUGUUUGAAUCUGUUCGUGCUAUUUAUUUCGAGCAACUGACAAUUAAAGAUGCUGAUAAACUUGAGAUGGAAAAAGACUUGUCAAAAGAAUUAGAAUUUAAUUCAAAAAUUAUUUCCAAAAAUUUCUAAUUAUAUUGGACAUUGACUCAAAUAAGAAAGAUUUACAUGAAAAUGAGAAAGAACUUGAGAGUUCAAGUGAAAAAAAAUUUUAAUGAUAAUGAAAAGAAACCUGAACCUUUUAAGAUAAGAAGACUUGAACUAGAGUUAAGAAGGAGCAAAAGACAGAGAACUGAAAAAGAUUUGGGACUAGAUAUAUUCAGUUACUUAAUAGAAAAGAUUCCCAAAACUUUUGAAAAGGCUGUCUUUGCCCAAUGCAAAUCUUCGGAAGAAGGCUAUGGAGGAUGAGAUCAAAUGCAUAAAUGAUAAUAAAACAUGGACUUUGACAGAUCAUCAUCCUAAUACAAAACCUAUUAGCUAAAAAUGGAUAUCAACGAAGAAGCUAAAACUUGAUGGCAGCAUUGACAGGUACAAAGCUAGGUUAGUUGUUAAAGGAUAUAGCUAAAAAGAAAAUAUUGAUUAUUUUGAAACUUUCUCUCCUGUUACUAAAUUUACUUCCAUUAGAACUAUGUUUGUUGUUGCUUCUACAUAUAAUCUUGUUAUUCAUCAAAUGGAUGUCAAAACUACCUUUUCAAAUGGUGAUUUAGGUGAAGAGUUUUAUAUUUACCAACUUGAGGGUUAUAUAGUUAAAGGCCAAGAAGACAAAGUUUGCAGGUUGAACAAAUCUUUGCAUGGUCUUAAAUAAGCCCCAGCCAAUGGCAUAAAAAGUUUAAAAAUAAAUAAAUAAACAAUUUGGUUUUAAGAGUAGUAAGGUUGAAAAUUGAGUGUUUGUUAAAUGCACUAAUGAUUAUAAAGUUUUGAUUACUUUUUAUGUUGAUAAUCUGCUUAUUUUUAGUUCCAAUAUGGAAUGUGUUAGUGAAACAAAAAAAAAAA